rnacentral:tRNA from 1 species
ACCCGUCUAGCUCAGUCGGUAGAGCGCUGGCCUUUUAAGCCAGUGGUCGUGGGUUCGAUCCCCAUGGGGGUG